rnacentral:rRNA from 1 species
AUUGAACGCUGGCGGCAGGCCUAACACAUGCAAGUCGAGCGGAGCGGCGGACGGGUGCGUAAUGGCUAGGAAUCUGCCUGUUCGUGGGGGAUGACGUCAGGAAACGGGCGCUAAUACCGCAUACUAUCAGAUGAGCCUAGGUCGGAUUAGGUAUUUGGGGGGGUAAAGGCCUACCAAGGCGACGAUCCGUAACUGGUCUGAGAGGAUGAUCAGUCACACUGGAACUGAGACACGGGCCAGACUCCUACGGGAGGCAGCAGUGGGGAAUAUUGGACAAUGGGCGAAAGCCUGAUCCAGCCAUGCCGCGUGUGUGAAGAAGGUCUUCGGAUUGUAAAGCACUUUAAGUUGGGAGGCGUUACCAACAGAAGAAGCACCGGCUAACUUCGUGCCAGCAGCCGCGGUAAUAC